CGGCCCGGUUGAGAUGACCGUUGUAGAUGACGAUCAGCUGCCAAAUCACCAGCUUGGGUUCCCUUUGGUCACAUGAGCUGGGUCACAUGAGCCAUUGGGGGCAACCAGUGGUGCUGCUGGCCUUGCCUCUUCAUGCGGUGGGAAAACAUUCCAACAGCUGGCCUCGGACAGUUUCAGAAACAUCUGCAAUGUUCGCCACUGCAUUACUUGGAUUUGUCCCCUGAUGCGAGCCAAGUCCCCACUCUGACCCUGCUGAGAUCAAAUCCUUUCCCUUUUAACCUGAUGAUGACUCUACCUCCAGCCUGCUCCAAAAAGACAGCAGGCUGUUGUGUUCAGCGGGGGAUUGGGCUAAAACGCUUGUGGCGGGGCCAAGGUAAACCGUUCCAAAUGGAAGAGCGGCGCGGGAAAAGGGACACCAUCGCAACAAAAGGAGUUAGAUAUGGAUCAUUGGGCCUGUGCACUGGCCACAGCUUGAGCCAAUUAUCAGUGUCAUCUUGAUCCAAUUUAAUCAAUCUGAGGGGGAGACUGCGAGAGGUGUGGGAGGGUGAUGGACAGGGUGCAAACGUUGGUCAGAUAGCCUGAGCUGACUAAGGACGUUUCUUGCCCUGCACCAACCAGUCAUCCUCCUAUCAGCAGCUCCAAGGGGGUAUUGAAUAGGAUAUUCUUGUCCCCAGUACCAGUUCUUCUCACUGUAGGGUUAUUUCACACCAGAGCUCUUUCAUCUAUAUCAAAUGAACUAUAGUUUGUUUUUUUGUAAAGUCUACUUUGUUUAGGUAUGUGUUAAAGCUCGUCAGAACUCUAGUCUAGGACCAAACAAGCAAAUUCUGGUUCACCUGAAAACGUGGGUUUCUGUUCGCAAGUGAACUCUAGUAUAUUUCGCUUACAGUUGAAAUCCAAUACUCCAUUUGGAACCAAACAAAGUGGCACAA